AGCGAACGCUGGCGGCAGGCCUAACACAUGCAAGUCGAGGGGUAGAGGAAGCUUGCUUCCUUGAGACCGGCGCACGGGUGCGUAACGCGUAUGCAAUCUACCUUUUACAGAGGGAUAGCCCAGAGAAAUUUGGAUUAAUACCUCAUAGUAUUUUCGAAUGGCAUCAUUUGGUUAUUAAAGUUCCAACGGUAAAAGAUGAGCAUGCGUCCUAUUAGCUAGAUGGUAAGGUAACGGCUUACCAUGGCAACGAUAGGUAGGGGUCCUGAGAGGGAGAUCCCCCUCACGGGUACUGAGACACGGACCACACUCCUACGGGAGGCAGCAGUGGGGAAGAUUGGACGAUGGGCGCAAGCCUGCUCCAGCCAUGCCGCGUGCAGGAAGACGCAUCUAUGGUGUGUAAACUGCUUUUGUACGGGAAGAAACACUCCCUCGUGAGGGAGCUUGACGGUACCGUAAGAAUAAGGAUCGGCUAACUCCGUGCCAGCAGCCGCCGUAAGAC
rnacentral:rRNA from 1 species